rnacentral:tRNA from 1 species
GUAAAAAUGCCAGAACAUUAUGGGGUUGGUUUAGGACCAAUACAUGGCGUAAGCCUUUUUACU